CCAGACUCCUACGGGAGGCAGCAGUGGGGAAUAUUGCACAAUGGGGGAAACCCUGAUGCAGCGACGCCGCGUGGAGGAAGAAGGUCUUCGGAUUGUAAACUCCUGUCCUUGGGGACGAUAAUGACGGUACCCAAGGAGGAAGCACCGGCUAACUACGUGCCAGCAGCCGCGGUAAAACGUAGGGUGCAAGCGUUGUCCGGAAUUACUGGGUGUAAAGGGCGUGUAGGCGGGACUGCAAGUCAGAUGUGAAAAUUAUGGGCUCAACCCAUAACCUGCAUUUGAAACUGUAGUUCUUGAGUGAUGGAGAGGCAGGCGGAAUUCCGUGUGUAGCGGUGAAAUGCGUAGAUAUACGGAGGAACACCAGUGGCGAAGGCGGCCUGCUGGACAUUAACUGACGCUGAGGCGCGAAAGCGUGGGGAGCAAACAGGAUUAGAUACCCUAGUAG
rnacentral:rRNA from 1 species